GGCGAACGGGUGAGUAAUGCAUCGGAACGUGCCAUUGAGUGGGGGAUAACGUAGCGAAAGUUGCGCUAAUACCGCAUAUUCUGUGAGCAGGAAAGCAGGGGACCGCAAGGCCUUGCGCUCUUUGAGCGGCCGAUGUCAGAUUAGCUAGUUGGUGAGGUAAAGGCUUACCAAGGCGACGAUCUGUAGCGGGUCUGAGAGGAUGAUCCGCCACACUGGAACUGAGACACGGUCCAGACUCCUACGGGAGGCAGCAGUGGGGAAUUUUGGACAAUGGGUCAACCCUGAUCCAGCCGUGCCGCGUGAGUGAAGAAGGCCUUCGGGUUGUAAAGCUCUUUCGGCCGGGAAGAGAUCGCAUGGGCCAAUACCCUGUGUGGAUGACGGUACCGGAAUAAGAAGCACCGGCUAACUACGUGCCAGCAGCCGCGGUAAUACGUAGGGUGCGAGCGUUAAUCGGAAUUACUGGGCGUAAAGCGUGCGCAGGCGGUUUUGUAAGACAGGCGUGAAAUCCCCGGGCUUAACCUGGGAACUGCGUUUGUGACUGCAAGGCUAGAGUACGGCAGAGGGGGGUGGAAUUCCACGUGUAGCAGUGAAAUGCGUAGAGAUGUGGAGGAACACCAAUGGCGAAGGCAGCCCCCUGGGUCGAUACUGACGCUCAUGCACGAAAGCGUGGGUAGCAAACAGGAUUAGAUACCCUGGUAGUCCACGCCCUAAACUAUGUCAACUAGGUGUUGGGUGGGUAAAACCAUUUAGUACCGUAGCUAACGCGUGAAGUUGACCGCCUGGGGAGUACGGCCGCAAGGUUAAAACUCAAAGGAAUUGACGGGGACCCGCACAAGCGGUGGAUGAUGUGGAUUAAUUCGAUGCAACGCGAAAAACCUUACCUACCCUUGACAUGCCAGGAACUUGCCAGAGAUGGCUUGGUGCCCGAAAGGGAGCCUGGACACAGGUGCUGCAUGGCUGUCGUCAGCUCGUGUCGUGAGAUGUUGGGUUAAGUCCCGCAACGAGCGCAACCCUUGUCGUUAAUUGCCAUCAUUUUUGGGCACUUUAACGAGACUGCCGGUGACAAACCGGAGGAAGGUGGGGAUGACGUCAAGUCCUCAUGGCCCUUAUGGGUAGGGCUUCACACGUCAUACAAUGGUCGGUACAAAGGGUUGCCAAGCCGCGAGGCGGAGCCAAUCCCAGAAAGCCGAUCGUAGUCCGGAUUGCAGGCUGCAACUCGCCUGCAUGAAGUCGGAAUCGCUAGUAAUCGUGGAUCAGCAUGUCACGGUGAAUACGUUCCCGGGUCUUGUACACACCGCCCGUCACACCAUGGGAGCGGGUUCCGCCAGAAGUAGGUAGCCUAACCGCAAGGGGGGCGCUUACCACGGCGGGGUUCGUGACUGGGGUGAAGUCGUAACAAGGUA
rnacentral:rRNA from 1 species